CAUUGCGGUGAGAGGGCGCGGCUCUGCUUGUCUCUUUGGAUACAUUCGAUAAAAUUGCAAAAAGGACGCGUAGAGCCAGAUAAACCGGUCUCGUCCUCAACCUUAUCGGCAUUUACGUGUUUACAGGUCUGCAGGGAUCCGCGAUGGGGUCGGUGCUACGAGAGCUACAGCGAAGAUCCCAAGAUCGUUCAGGCCAUGACCGAGAUUGUCCCCGGAUUGCAAGGUGAUCUUCCUGCUGGUUCUCGGAAGGGUGUCCCCUACGUCGCCGGAAAGAAAAUGUGGCUGCAUGCGCAAAGCAUUACGUUGGCGAUGGUGGAACGACCAAUGGCGUCAAUGAGAAUAACACUGUAACCGAUUGGCACGGCUUGCUUAGCAUCCAUAUGCCGGGUUACUACACUUCAAUCAUCAAGGGUGUCUCAACCGUCAUGGUUUCUUACUCUAGCUGGAAUGGAGUCAAGAUGCAUGCUAAUGGCAACCUAGUCACAGGCUUCCUUAAAAACAAGCUCCGUUUCAGAGGGUUUGUCAUAUCAGAUUGGGAAGGUAUUGACAGGAUCACCUCUCCCCCCCAUGCUAACUAUUCCUACUCCAUUCAAGCAGGAAUUAGUGCGGGCAUUGACAUGGUUGGUGAUUGAUUAUACACUAUGCUGUAUGAGAC